rnacentral:rRNA from 1 species
UACGUAGGGUGCGAGCGUUGUCCGGAAUUAUUGGGCGUAAAGAGCUCGUAGGCGGUGUGUCACGUCGUUCGUGAAAACCUGCAGCUUAACUGUGAGCGUGCUUCCGAUACGGGCAGACUUGAGGUAUUCAGGGGAGAACGGAAUCCGUGGAUGUAGCGGUGAAAUGCGCAGAUAUCAGGAGGAACACCGGUGGCGAAGGCGGUUCUCUGGGAAUAUC